AGGUGUGUAGCUCAGCUGGUUAGAGCAUCACCAUUACAUGGUGGGGCAGUAGUUCGAAUCUAUUCGCGCCUACCA
rnacentral:tRNA from 1 species